GGUGGUUCUACUUUGGACUUCUUCAUACUUAAACAAACACAAUUAGGUCUAAGCAAUGAACUAUAUAUAUAUAUAUAAAAACAUGCUUUUUCUAAUCUUUAAAAACUAACCCCUUGAUUUAGUUAAAUUAUCAAAAUCGUCCCCGUUUGGGAAAAUAACCAAAGUCCGUAUACGGUUUCUUAGAUUUAACACCAAGCACACACACACAAACACACAAAU